GGCAGAUGAAAGGUUACAUCUCACAUACCAAAGUGAGAGAUCAGGAGAUUAGGGUGGGGUUGACUGGCUGGAAGUGGUGUAGCCUGUUUUGAAACCCCAGGACACAUGUGCAGAACAGUUCCCAAAGUCCUGCAUGUGGUCCCCAUCCUGAGAACUUGAGCAAGUUAUCAAUAGGAUGGCCUAGACCUGAUGUCAGCCUGCAGUAGGAGCCACGAAAAGGGAUAGUCACCACUGAGCUCCUGCUACUGUGCACUUUCAUGGGGUCCCUCCUCAUGCUGUAGGGUGAACUUUUUUCCCCACUUUUUCUUGGCCCCAACCAAACUUGCUCUACAGAGCCUGUUUCUUUUCCUACCCUUAAUAAAUGUAAAACCUCACUACCGUUUGUACUUGUCUUGACCAAUUCUUUGCUCAGGACAGAAAGAACCUGGAAAGAACCUCUGGAAGGAGACUCCAGCAUCCCAGAGCUCGUGAGAAUGUGAACUCUGAAAGCGGGAGAGGUUAGAUGGUUUGUUCUCCAAUGCAUCCGUGUGCCUUCACCAGUGCGUGACGUGCAGCAGGUACGCAAUGAAUGCUGAGCAGAAGGCAUGUAGUGACCCCUAUGCUCUUGGCUUCACCUCUGUUUACAUUUCUGCUCACUCUUUUGCGAGGCCACAUACAUCCUGGGUUCCUCUGCUUCCCCCAACAUCCUCCACCCUCAGCCCAGGCUGCUCUGAUCCUCCCUCUCAGCCUGCUCCUGUAACAGCUUCUUUCUGAAUCAUCCUCUUGAAAGUCCUAAAAGAUUUGUUCUGGCUGAUAGUUUCAAGUUUCUUUUUUAAAAAAAUGUUAAUCUUCCCAGUUAGAUUACCAGUUCUCCUUGUUCUCACUGUAGGUACAUUCCAAAUGCUUAAUGAAAAGCCCCAAGAACUCACAGCUGGAUGGGCACCUAGUAUGUGCCAGAUGCGAUUCUAACUGUUCUAUGUAAAUCCAUGAACCUGCACAUGCCCUGUGACGUCGAUGUCUUGUCAUCUCCAUUUUACAAAUGGGGAAACAAGUCACGGGGAAGUUCAUGGACUUGCUAGGAAGCAGAGGGGAGGC
ensembl:lncRNA